rnacentral:rRNA from 1 species
CCUACGGGUGGCAGCAGUGAGGAAUAUUGGACAAUGGGCGCGAGCCUGAACCAGCCAAGUAGCGUGAAGGAUGACUGCCCUACGGGUUGUAAACCUCUUUUAUAAAGGAAUAAAGUGAGGUACGUGUGCCUUUUUGCAUGUACAUUAUGAAUAAGGAUCGGCUAACUCCGUGCCAGCAGCCGCGGUAAUACGGAGGAACCGAGCGUUAUCCGGAUUUAUUGGGUUUAAAGGGUGCGUAGAUGGGUUGUUAAGUCAGUUGUGAAAGUUUGCGGCUCAACCGUAAAAUUGCAAUUGAUACUGGCAGCCUUGAGUACAGUUGAGGUAGGCGGAAUUCGUGGUGUAGCGGUGAAAUGCUUAGAUAUCACGAAGAACUCCGAUUGCGAAGGCAGCUUACUAAACUGCCACUGACGUUGAUGCUCGAAAGUGUGGGUAUCAAACAGGAUUAGAUACCCGUGUAGUC